UGCGAAAGUGUACGACUCUCUGCAGCUCUCAAAGUGUCGCUCAUUGAAGUUAAGCAGAGCUGUGCCCAGUCAGUGCCUGGAUGGGAGACCACAUAUGAAAGCUAGGUUGCUGCCGGAA
rnacentral:rRNA from 1 species